AGUCUUAUAGUCAAAGUUAAUAUGAUAUUAAAUUGCAAGUUUAAGGGUGGAAAAUUUCUAAGGCUU
rnacentral:tRNA from 1 species